AUGAACGCUAGCUACAGGCUUAACACAUGCAAGUCGAGGGGCAGCAGGAUCUAGCAAUAGAUUGCUGGCGACCGGCGCACGGGUGAGUAACACGUAUCCAACCUGCCGAUAACUCGGGGAUAGCCUUUCGAAAGAAAGAUUAAUACCCGAUAGUAUAAUCAGACCGCAUGGUUUGAUUAUUAAAGAAUUUCGGUUAUCGAUGGGGAUGCGUUCCAUUAGGCAGUUGGUGAGGUAACGGCUCACCAAACCUUCGAUGGAUAGGGGUUCUGAGAGGAAGGUCCCCCACAUUGGAACUGAGACACGGUCCAAACUCCUACGGGAGGCAGCAGUGAGGAAUAUUGGUCAAUGGACGCGAGUCUGAACCAGCCAAGUAGCGUGAAGGAUGACUGCCCUAUGGGUUGUAAACUUCUUUUAUAUGGGAAUAAAGUUUUCCACGUGUGGAAUUUUGUAUGUACCAUAUGAAUAAGGAUCGGCUAACUCCGUGCCAGCAGCCGCGGUAAUACGGAGGAUCCGAGCGUUAUCCGGAUUUAUUGGGUUUAAAGGGAGCGUAGGUGGACAGUUAAGUCAGUUGUGAAAGUUUGCGGCUCAACCGUAAAAUUGCAGUUGAUACUGGCUGUCUUGAGUACAGUAGAGGUGGGCGGAAUUCGUGGUGUAGCGGUGAAAUGCUUAGAUAUCACGAAGAACUCCGAUUGCGAAGGCAGCUCACUGGACUGCAACUGACACUGAUGCUCGAAAGUGUGGGUAUCAAACAGGAUUAGAUACCCUGGUAGUCCACACAGUAAACGAUGAAUACUCGCUGUUUGCGAUAUACAGUAAGCGGCCAAGCGAAAGCAUUAAGUAUUCCACCUGGGGAGUACGCCGGCAACGGUGAAACUCAAAGGAAUUGACGGGGGCCCGCACAAGCGGAGGAACAUGUGGUUUAAUUCGAUGAUACGCGAGGAACCUUACCCGGGCUUAAAUUGCAUUUGAAUAUAUUGGAAACAGUAUAGCCGUAAGGCAAAUGUGAAGGUGCUGCAUGGUUGUCGUCAGCUCGUGCCGUGAGGUGUCGGCUUAAGUGCCAUAACGAGCGCAACCCUUAUCUUUAGUUACUAACAGGUCAUGCUGAGGACUCUAGAGAGACUGCCGUCGUAAGAUGUGAGGAAGGUGGGGAUGACGUCAAAUCAGCACGGCCCUUACGUCCGGGGCUACACACGUGUUACAAUGGGGGGUACAGAAGGCAGCUACCUGGUGACAGGAUGCUAAUCCCAAAAGCCUCUCUCAGUUCGGAUCGAAGUCUGCAACCCGACUUCGUGAAGCUGGAUUCGCUAGUAAUCGCGCAUCAGCCAUGGCGCGGUGAAUACGUUCCCGGGCCUUGUACACACCGCCCGUCAAGCCAUAAAAGCCGGGGGUACCUGAAGUACGUAACCGCAAGGAGCGUCCUAGGGUAAAACUGGUAAUUGGGGCU
rnacentral:rRNA from 1 species